GAAUAGUAUAAAAAUUACAAGUAAAAUAGAAUACUAUCUCCGCAGUUAAGCGUGCUUGGGCGAGAGUAGUACUAGGAUGGGUGACCUCCCGGGAAGUCCUCGUGUUGCAUCCC